rnacentral:rRNA from 1 species
ACGCUGGCGGCGUGCUUAACACAUGCAAGUCGACGGAAAAGAGGGGAAGAGCUUGCUCUUUUCAGAAUUGAGUGGCAAACGGGUGAGUAACACGUAAACAACCUGCCUUCAGGAUGGGGACAACAGACGGAAACGACUGCUAAUACCGAAUAAGUUCCAAGAGCCGCAUGGCCCAUGGAAGAAAAGGUGGCCUCUACCUGUAAGCUAUCGCCUGAAGAGGGGUUUGCGUCUGAUUAGCUGGUUGGAGGGGUAACGGCCCACCAAGGCGACGAUCAGUAGCCGGUCUGAGAGGAUGAACGGCCACACUGGAACUGAGACACGGUCCAGACUCCUACGGGAGGCAGCAGUGGGGAAUCUUCCGCAAUGGGCGAAAGCCUGACGGAGCAACGCCGCGUGAGUGAUGACGGCCUUCGGGUUGUAAAACUCUGUGAUCCGGGACGAAAAGGCAGAGUGCGAAGAACAAACUGCAUUGACGGUACCGGAAAAGCAAGCCACGGCUAACUACGUG